rnacentral:rRNA from 1 species
ACUCCUGCGGGAGGCAGCAGUGGGGAAUAUUGGACAAUGGGCGCAAGCCUGAUCCAGCCAUGCCGCGUGAGUGAUGAAGGCCCUAGGGUUGUAAAGCUCUUUCACCGGUGAAGAUAAUGACGGUAACCGGAGAAGAAGCCCCGGCUAACUUCGUGCCAGCAGCCGCGGUAAUACGAAGGGGGCUAGCGUUGUUCGGAUUUACUGGGCGUAAAGCGCACGUAGGCGGACUAUUAAGUCAGGGGUGAAAUCCCGGGGCUCAACCCCGGAACUGCCUUUGAUACUGGUAGUCUUGAGUUCGAGAGAGGGGAGUGGAAUUCCGAGUGUAGAGGUGAAAUUCGUAGAUAUUCGGAGGAACACCAGUGGCGAAGGCGGCUCACUGGCUCGAUACUGACGCUGAGGUGCGAAAGCGUGGGGAGCAAGCAGGAUUAGAAACCCGGGUAGUCC